CUUGCACAUACAUACAUGCACAUAGAUACAUACAUACAUACACAUGCACAUAGAUACAUACAUGCUCAUACACGUUCACUUACAAUCAACUUACCCGCAACCUAUUGAGUCACUAUGUGAUAAGUGUCUUUCUAUUGGUGCACAGGAAUUACAACAGGCCAUUCAAAUGCUACGUUUGUGGGUCAGACUUACUUUCAGAUGCUUCAGAGCCAAGCAGGCUGAUCGCUGGAGCUUUGUAUCAUCACCAGAUAAAACCUCUGUGUAAUACACAACUGCCUGCAAUGGGGGAAAAGGGGAAAUACAUGAUACCUGUGUACUAAUAACAUUUUUGACCUUCUACAGGUAAUGGGCAGAAUGAAGGAAACACUGAGCUGCCACUGAGCAUCUACAACUUCACCUUGACUGUAUCAUAAGGGGAGAAGGAAAGGCUAAAAUUAAGUAACCAUAAAGCAGGAAAAUGGAAACCACUCCGUCUGAUAAGUCUUCCGCUGGGAAUAUGCCCCCAAAGGUGAACAUCUGCUCCAGAACUCUUCUGCACACUGAAAGGGAAACAUCAAGUGUUGUUAAGCUGCGUGUCCAUAACAUUUUAUGUUCAUUUUCUGGGCACCGUGUGACUUGCAUGUACUGCGUCUCUGUUAUACACUUUAAUUCCGUUAUUUAACCAGAAAUAAAGAUUUUUAUGAAUAA